rnacentral:rRNA from 1 species
CAGCAGCCACGGGAAUGCGAAGGGUGCAAGCGUUAAUCGGAAUUACUGGGCGUAAAGCGUGCGUAGGUGGUGGUUUAAGUCCGUUGUGAAAGCCCUGGGCUCAACCUGGGAAUUGCAGUGGAUACUGGGUCACUAGAGUGUGGUAGAGGAUAGUGGAAUUUCCGGUGUAGCAGUGAAAUGCGUAGAGAUCGGAAGGAACAUCUGUGGCGAAGGCGACUAUCUGGGCCAACACUGACACUGAGGCACGAAAGCGUGGGGAGCAAACAGGAUUAGAUACCCCAGUAGUCCCUGUCUCUUAUAC